AAGCCGAGCACCGAGACGAGUCUUUUUUAGAUGAAGUCACUGAUGCCACGCUUCCAGGAAAAGCUUCUAAGCUUCAGCUCACGAAGACCGUACCGUAAACCGACACAGGUAGGUAGGAUGAGAAUUCUCAGGCGCUUGAGAGAACUCGGGUGAAGGAACUAGGCAACAUGGCACCGUAACUUCGGGAGAAGGUGCACCCUUUUUGGUGGCGCGUGCGCGUUAUAGCUGAAGAGGGUCGCAGAAACCAGG
rnacentral:rRNA from 1 species